CGCGGCCUAUCAGCUUGUUGGAGAGGUAACGGCUCACCAAGGCAUCGACGGGUAGCUGGUCUGAGAGGAUGAUCAGCCACACUGGAACUGAGACACGGUCCAGACUCCUACGGGAGGCAGCAGUGGGGAAUCUUGCACAAUGGGCGAAAGCCUGAUGCAGCGACGCCGCGUGGGGGAUGACGGUCUUCGGAUUGUAAACUCCUUUCAGUAGGGACGAAGCGAAAGUGACGGUACCUGCAGAAGAAGCACCGGCCAACUACGUGCCAGCAGCCGCGGUAAUACGUAGGGUGCAAGCGUUGUCCGGAAUUACUGGGCGUAAAGAGCUCGUAGGCGGUUUGUCGCGUCUGCUGUGAAAUCCGGAGGCUCAACUGGGGGCGUGCAGGCGAUACGGGCAGACUUGAGUACUACAGGGGAGACUGGAAUUCCUGGUGUAGCGGUGAAAUGCGCAGAUAUCAGGAGGAACACCGGUGGCGAAGGCGGGUCUCUGGGUAGUAACUGACGCUGAGGAGCGAAAGCAUGGGGAGCAAACAGGAUUAGAUACCCUGGUAGUCCAUGCCGUAAACGGUGGGCGCUAGGUGUGGGGUCCUUCCACGGAUUCCGUGCCGUAGCUAACGCAUUAAGCGCCCCGCCUGGGGAGUACGGA
rnacentral:rRNA from 1 species